rnacentral:rRNA from 1 species
GGAGGAAAAGAAACCAACAGGGAUUGCCUUAGUAACGGCGAGUGAAGCGGCAAAAGCUCAAAUUUGAAAUCUGGCACCUUCGGUGUCCGAGUUGUAAUUUGAAGAAGGUAACUUUGGAGUUGGCUCUUGUCUAUGUUCCUUGGAACAGGACGUCACAGAGGGUGAGAAUCCCGUGCGAUGAGAUGCCCAAUUCUAUGUAAAGUGCUUUCGAAGAGUCGAGUUGUUUGGGAAUGCAGCUCUAAGUGGGUGGUAAAUUCCAUCUAAAGCUAAAUAUUGGCGAGAGACCGAUAGCGAACAAGUACAGUGAUGGAAAGAUGAAAAGAACUUUGAAAAGAGAGUGAAAAAGUACGUGAAAUUGUUGAAAGGGAAGGGCUUGAGAUCAGACUUGGUAUUUUGCGAUCCUUUCCUUCUUGGUUGGGUUCCUCGCAGCUUACUGGGCCAGCAUCGGUUUGGAUGGUAGGAUAAUGACUAAGGAAUGUGGCUCUACUUCGGUGGAGUGUUAUAGCCUUGGUUGAUACUGCCUGUCUAGACCGAGGACUGCGUCUUUUGACUAGGAUGUUGGCAUAAUGAUCUUAA